rnacentral:tRNA from 1 species
CGGAAUGUAGCUCAGGUGGGAGAGCACACGCCUAAUAAGCGUGAGGUCGCAAGUUCGAAUCUUGCCUUUCCGA